GUUCUCAGUUUAGCAGAACAUAAAUAUUAAAGUUAGAAAGUCACAGAAAAGAUUAGCAUGGCUAUUGCAUUAGUAUGUCAUGAAAGGCAUAUGAUUUAUAAUAGAAGUAU